UGGGGAAUAUUGCACAAUGGGCGCAAGCCUGAUGCAGCCAUGCCGCGUGUGUGAAGAAGGCCUUCGGGUUGUAAAGCACUUUCAGCGGGGAGGAAGGCGAUAAGGUUAAUAACCUUGUCGAUUGACGUUACCCGCAGAAGAAGCACCGGCUAACUCCGUGCCAGCAGCCGCGGUAAUACGGAGGGUGCAAGCGUUAAUCGGAAUUACUGGGCGUAAAGCGCACGCAGGCGGUCUGUCAAGUCGGAUGUGAAAUCCCCGGGCUUAACCUGGGAACUGCAUUCGAAACUGGCAGGCUAGAGUCUUGUAGAGGGGGGUAGAAGUCCAGGUGUAGCGGUGAAAUGCGUAGAGAUCUGGAGGAAUACCGGUGGCGAAGGCGGCCCCCUGGACAAAGACUGACGCUCAGGUGCGAAAGCGUGGGGAGCAAACAGG
rnacentral:rRNA from 1 species